AGAGUUUGAUCCUGGCUCAGAAUGAACGCUGGCGGCGCUAACACAUGCAAGUCGAACGGGAAAGUGGAGCAUCCAUGAGUACAGUGGCGACGGGUGAGUAACACGUGGGUAAUCUACCUCUUAGUGGGGAAUAACCCUGGGAAACCGGGGCUAAUACCGCAUAAGCCUGAGAAGGGAAAGCAGCAAUGCGCUGAGAGAGGAGCCCGCGGCCGAUUAGCUAGUUGGUAGGGUAAAGGCCUACCAAGGCAGAGAUCGGUAGCCGGCCUGAGAGGGCACACGGCCACACUGGCACUGAAACACGGGCCAGACUCCUACGGGAGGCAGCAGUGGGGAAUCUUGCACAAUGGGGGCAACCCUGAUGCAGCGACGCCGCGGAGCGAUGAAGCCCUUCGGGGUGUAAAGCUCUUUCGUCAGGAAGAUCAUGACGGUACCUGGAGAAGCAGCUGCGGCUAACUACGUGCCAGCAGCCGCGGUAAUACGUAGGCAGCGAGCGUUGUUCGGAGUUACUGGGCGUAAAGGGUGGUAGGCGGUUCUAAGUUUGGUGUGAAAUCUCCCGGCUCAACCGGGAGGGUGCGCCGAAUACUGAGGGACUAGAGUGCGGGAGAGGAAAGUGGAAUUCCUGGUGUAGCGGUGAAAUGCGUAGAUAUCAGGAGGAACACCGGUGGUGUAGACGGCUUUCUGGACCGUAACUGACGCUGAGACACGAAAGCGUGGGUAGCAAACAGGAUUAGAUACCCUAGUAGUCC
rnacentral:rRNA from 1 species